GACGAACGCUGGCGGCGUGCCUAACACAUGCAAGUCGAACGAAGCACUUCUGAAUGGAGAUUCGUCAAAGUUCAGAUUUGACUUAGUGGCGGACGGGUGAGUAAUGCAUGAGCAACCUGCCCUGCAGUGGGGGACAACAGUUGGAAACGACUGCUAAUACCGCAUGAUGUAUCUGGAAGGCAUCUUCCGGAUACCAAAGAUUUAUCGCUGUGGGAUGGGCUCAUGUCUGAUUAGUUAGUUGGUGGGGUAACGGCCUACCAAGACUGCGAUCAGUAGCCGGACUGAGAGGUUGAACGGCCACAUUGGGACUGAGAUACGGCCCAGACUCCUACGGGAGGCAGCAGUGGGGAAUAUUGGGCAAUGGGCGAAAGCCUGACCCAGCAACGCCGCGUGAAGGAAGAAGGUCUUCGGAUUGUAAACUUCUUUUAUGAGGGACGAAGGAAGUGACGGUACCUCAUGAAUAAGCCACGGCUAACUACGUGCCAG
rnacentral:rRNA from 1 species